rnacentral:lncRNA from 1 species
GCAUUCAUCUGGAAAGACAGGACUAAAGUCAGCCUGAUUUUAGUGAGUCAAGAGGGGAGGAAGCACACAAGGAAGCUUGUCUUCUUACUGCCUCAGUAAUGAAGCAGCAAAUAUGUCUUUUCUGGACCUGAAGGGGAGGCCUGCAGAGUCACAUCUGGCUGAUGCAGCAACCACAGCAACCUCACAAAGACAAGACUCAGAACCGGGAGCAACAGCAACAAAUCAGAGCCGGC